rnacentral:rRNA from 1 species
CACGUAGGGCGCAAGCGUUGUCCGGAAUUAUUGGGCGUAAAGAGCUCGUAGGCGGUCUGUUGCGUCCGCUGUGAAAACUCGGGGCUUAACCCCGAGCCUGCAGUGGAUACGGGCAGACUAGAGGUAGGUAGGGGAGAAUGGAAUUCCCGGUGUGGCGGUGAAAUGCGCAGAUAUCGGGAGGAACACCAAUGGCGAAGGCAGCUCGCUGGGACGGUACUGACGCUGAGACGCGAAAGCGUGGGGAGCAAACAGG